rnacentral:tRNA from 1 species
AAGGGAGACCUAAUUCCGGUAGGAGACGAAAAAAAAGUAGUCCCAACCAAGAAUCAAUCCCAAAAGGUCGGAACGAGGUAUGUGGCUUUCAAACUAGGUUCUGGGUUCACACAAGACCUGAAUCAGGAACAAGGGCUAUUAGCUCAGGUGGUUAGAGCGCACCCCUGAUAAGGGUGAGGUCCCUGGUUCGAGUCCAGGAUGGCCCACCUGCACAGGUGGCAAAAACAAGAGAAGCUCCGAAUCAGCACCUUAUCUUAUAUACAUAUAUAAGAGAGAAUGCUGGCUCUGAGUACAGAGUCCAGAGGAACCUUGAAAACUGCAUAGAGCUAGGUGAAAAAGCCAAAAAAGAAGACCGCAA